rnacentral:rRNA from 1 species
CAUGUCCUUUUGAUUAUAAUUUUAGGUCAGACCUGCCCACUGAAAAAUUUUGAAUGGCCGCGGUAUUUUGACUGUGCAAAGGUAGCAUAAUAAUUAGUUUCUUAAUUAGGAACUUGUAUGAAAGGUUCGACGAGAGAAUUUCUGUCUCUAUUGUAUUUUUGUUAAAAUUUUACUUUAAAGUUAAAAGGCUUUAAUUAAUUUUAAAGACGAGAAGACCCUAUAGAGUUUUAUAUAAUUAUAUUAAUUUAUUUUUUGAAAUUUAUAGUGUAAUAAAAUUAUAUUUUGUUGGGGUGACAGGAAGAUUAAUAAAACUCUUUUUAAUUAAUUACAUAGAUUUAUGGUUAUUUGAUCCGAUUUUUUGAUUAUAAGAGUAAAUUACCUUAGGGAUAACAGCGUAAUUUAUUUGGAGAGUUCAAAUCGAUAAUUAAGAUUGCGACCUCGAUGUUGGAUUAAAGUUAAUUUGUGGUGUAGAAGCUACAGAAUUGGGUCUGUUCGACCUUUAAAACUUUACAUGAUCUGAGU